ensembl:lncRNA
UCCUGUUGACACGUUCCUGUGACCUCACGGUAAACAGGGCGGGGCUUUGUCCUGCCCAGUUACAGUAUUCUAUACCUCCAGAAGACGUGGAUGGAUCAGGAAAUGAUCUAGAAAGUUCUUCUUCUGGAGAAUUGGGGGAAGGGUCCGAAGACGGACAAAGUUCCAAUUACUACGUCACAAUUUCAAAACCCCACGGCAUCGACAGAGAAGACAAAGGCUUCCCAAUCAUAACCCGAAAUGAAAUACCAGAUGACACACACCAGACCUCUAACUUUUGGCCAGAGCUGGGAGACUACCCUGAAUCCAUCACUGGCAAUGUGGCAAAUAGCAGGAGUUUUCUAGUGAACAAAGAAGCUCUUGCAGCUAUCAUUGCAGGUGGUGUGGUGGGACUAGCAUUGGCUGCUAGCUUGCUAACACUGCUCAUCUAUAGCAUGAAGAAGAAAGACUGGGGAGACACUUCAAAGGGAGGAUAUUUGAAAGGCAAUACCAAGGAGUUUAUGGUGUAACUUUCCUAUGAAUGAAUGAAUGACUGCAAAUCGCUUUGGAUAUAAGUGUUGGCCAGAUGGGACGUGCUGUUAGUUUAAAACCAGGCGGAUUGAACCCUGAAUGUUGAUUGCAAGCUGUUGUAUACAAGACUAUAUCACGGGUGAUAAUAAAACAUGUAUUUUUACUGUUCAAAUGGCAAUAUGUUGUUCCACACUUUCCUGUCAAAUAAAGCAUAAAAUUGCCUGAAAAAUAUGUAUUUAAAAAAUACAUAUAUACCGUCACACUUUAUUUGCAUAGUCACAAUUACAAUCUGUUGAUGCUCUAGAGAUAUUUAUACUAUCCACAACAUAUAUGAAAAACUAAAUAAAUGCUUGUUAGGCUAGGGUUAGAUCAAGAAAGAGAGUUAGGGAAAGAAUUAAGGUUAUUGUAAGAAGAUAGUUAAUUGAAAUGUUAUAGAUGAUGUAGGUCAGUGGUUCCCAACCAGGGGUACUAGGACCCCUGGGGGUACUUGGCCUUUCCACAGGGGGUACUUGAAAACACUCAAGUACCCCACUAGUGAAAUGAACAUGAGGGGGUACUUCAGGGGUACUCCAAGCAGUGCAAAUUAUUUUUGGGGGUACAGUAACUGAAAAAGGUUGGGAGCCACUGAUGUAGAUUGUCUGAAAAUCAUCUGUAGAUUGACUUUACAAAUAAACUGUUACCAUAUGUACUGUAUAUGUGAUUACAAGUUUUCUGAACUUUAUUAGUGUUUCAGCAGUUCACUGGUGAAAUACUAUUGUUUUUGUAACAGUUAAUUAUUAUUAUUUUAAAUUGGAUUUCUGCAUGAAUCUUCCACAUAUAUGUUAUAAUCUUUAAAAUGGGUGUACUUUAUCGACAUUUUAAGUAUUGAUGUUAUGAAUCAACUGUGUUGAAAGUAUCACACCUUGAGAAUAAAUUGUAUCUUGUAGUG